UUUAUUACAGAAUUGGCUUCAGGAAUUGUCUUUGGUGUGAGAUCUAAGAUACCAAUUGAUCUGAAUCAAAUUCCCAGCUCCACUAAACAGUUCAGAGUCCAAACCUGAUAUUACCAAGAUAACUGAGGUUGGUAAGGGUCCACCCAUGCUGAUUCUGGGAGAGGAAGAGGAGAUACAAAGGCCAGAUGUCCCCAAAACCCUGCCUGUGCAGAAGAGAUAUAGAAUGUCAGGAUUGGAGAAGCAGGUAGGAAUUUCAUCCAGAUCAAGUGGGAGCCAGUAGGAGGAAGGAAUGGAACCUCCAUUAAAGUCAGAAUGACAGUAGAGAUGUGAUCAUCUGGAAGCUCAUCGCUGAGUGUAGACAACAGGAAAAGGUCUGAUUAUUCCACCAUAUGGAGGAUUCUCUCCUAGGACCUUCUUUUAGGGAUAAAUUUCUGGAGCCUGCAUUCUCCUGAGCAAGUGACACAAUUGUAACACAAUGUUGCAACAUGGUAUCAUGGCAGCAAGGCUACCAAACCUAAAUUCACAAUAUUUCAAGUUCAUUUCUGCAGGUGGGGGUUUCCUCUUCCUCUGAAAGAUCAUGCAUUUGACACUGCAAUCAAGGAGGCUGCACAAGAAUAAUUGAAGGCAGAAUCAGGCCCAGCAUUUGUGUUUCAUCAUGUGUAUUAAUCCUUUACAGGAGAAUAGAUAGUAGGUCAUCAUCAUUCAUUCCAACUUCAGGAUGACGAGUUAAUCUUUGUUUACUACGGUAUCUUAGG